GACGAACGCUGGCGGCGUGCUUAACACAUGCAAGUCGAACGGAAAGGCCUGUCCUUCCUUGUGUUGGACGGGUACUCGAGUGGCGAACGGGUGAGUAACACGUGAGUGAUCUGCCCCCAACUUGGGUAUAAGCCUGGGAAACUGGGUCUAAUUCCCGAUAGGACUGCAGGGUGGUGCCUGUGGUGGAAAACGAUUUUCUAGUGGUUGGGGAUGAGCUCGCGGCCUAUCAGCUUGUUGGUGGGGUAAUGGCCUACCAAGGCGGCGACGGGUAGCCGGCCUGAGAGGGUGGACGGCCACAUUGGGACUGAGAUACGGCCCAGACUCCUACGGGAGGCAGCAGUGGGGAAUAUUGCACAAUGGGCGGAAGCCUGAUGCAGCGACGCCGCGUGGGGGAUGACGGCCUUCGGGUUGUAAACUCCUUUCGACCGCGAGUAAGCCGCCUGGUUGGAAGGGUGGUGACGGUAGUGGUAGAAGAAGCACUGGCUAACUACGUG
rnacentral:rRNA from 1 species